AUGGCGGCUGCGUCCAGGAAGGAGGAGGAGAGGAACGAGCGGAUCGUGAGGGGCCUCCUCAAGCUGCCGCCCAACCGCAGAUGCAUCAACUGCAACGCCAUCGGGCCGCAGUACGUCUGCACGAGCUUCUGGACAUUCAUCUGCAUCUCCUGCAGCGGCAUCCACCGUGAGUUCACGCACCGAGUAAAAUCGGUGUCUAUGUCCAAGUUCACCGUGCAAGAGGUUGAGGCCCUUCAAAAGGGUGGGAACCAGCGAGCCAGAGAAUUAUUGUUGAAGGAUUUCGAUACCCAGCAAAUGAGGGUACCUGAUAGCAGUAACACUGAAAGCCUUAGAGAAUUCAUAAAUGCUGUUUAUGUGGAGAGAAGAUAUGCUGGUGUAAGUUUGUCCGAAAGGCCUCCAAGAGAUAUACAGAUUCAGAAAUCCCAUGAAGAGGAACAUAGAAGGGCUAGUUCCUAUCAUUCAUUUUCUCAGAGCCCACCUAAUGACUACCAAUAUGAAGAAAGGCACAAUCGCAAGCAACCUGCAAUGCUAAGUAGGAAACCUAGUUCAGACCGAGGGCAUGAUGGGAAGAUGCCUGGAUUUUCUUAUCGUUCACAUAGCCUGCAAGAGAGAAUGUCCGAGGACCAAUUUGCAAAUGAGAGUCGUGGACCGACAACUUCUGACUGCUCAGGGUCAAGCAUGAGUGGUACCUUUGGAACAGCACCCAAAUCACCUGAUUUCUUCGAUGAUGGGUGUUUAAGCCCUCCUGUCCAACAAAAUCAAUCAAAUAUGCUGAGUUGUAAUGGCAUCACGCAAUCCCAGAGAACUGCAUCAACAGGGAACAUAGAUUCCACAUCGCUUAAGUCAGGCAACUCAAGCUUAGCUGAUUUGUUUUUUGAUUUUGAGAAUGUUCACCGAACUCAGCAAUCCAACAAUUCUGCAGCUCCAAGUUUUGUAGCCUUUUCUGCUGCUGUAAAUGGCACAAAGGAGGAUCUCUACAGUCAGCCAAAUUUGCAGCAACAACCUGUAACUGGCUAUCCAUCUGUAGAUUUAUUUGCAAAUAUGCCUCAUACAGCUUCAUCUGCUGAUAAAAUACCACUGGAAGCUCAUCCAUCUGUAGAUUUGUUUGCAAAUAUGCCUCAUACAGCUUCAUCUGCUGAUAAAAUGCCACUGGAAGCUCCAUCAAUGGGCAAUGCUGGGUGGGCUACAUUUGACACGCCCCCAAAGGAUAAACAGCCUGGAGUCACUGGUCCCUCUCCUGUAGCUGACGUAGGUAAUCAUAAACAGAUUCUGGGUCGUGAUUUGUUUUCGUUCGAAACAAGUGAUAGACCAACAUUGUUCCCGACUUCCAAGCACGAAGUUUCAAUCAGCAAUCAGUCUGGUGCUACAUCUCUUGAUACAAGUUGCUCUCAGUUAUGGCAUUCAUUUGAUGAUGCAACUGGGAUCAUCUCUAAUGAUCACUCUGGUGCUGAGCCACUAAGUAAUGAGCUCACAAAUGUAGUCAAUGUUACCAACAAUCCUUUUAGUUGCCCUAUUAGUUCAAAGAAAUCUCAUGGUGAUGAUUGCCAUAAUGUGUUCAUGGAUGAAUUAGCUCUAAGUGCAUCAUUUGCUCCUUUCCUAGAGCCAUCUCCAAUAUCUGAUGUUCCUUCGGGAAAACCCUUUGCUGAUCAGAUUGUGCUAAAUCCAUUUGAUCUCCCCUUUGGUACUGAUUCAGAGGCUACUAAUCUGUUCAUGGACAUGAGCACGCUGCAAGCUGCUUUGCCUAAUUUACCAAUUUCUUUUCUUGAUGGCUUGCCUGAAUCAUGGUUCUCCAACAAUACUUCUACCUAUGUUCCGUCUGGAUCACAUGGUGGACUAACAUGUCUUGUCGAGCAGGCCCCGAACUCUCCGUUGAGGAACAUAACAUUGAGCACUGUAUCUACUGGCAAUCCUUUUGCAUAG
rnacentral:rRNA from 1 species